GGCCCUGUGGCACAACGGUAGCGCAACUGACUCCAGAUCAGAAGAUUGUCCGUUCGAAUCGGGUAGGGGUCA
rnacentral:tRNA from 1 species